ACACGGAUGGCCUUAAGGGACAAGUUUGGGGAAAGUUGCUGCAGGUAUGUCAUGAGGUCACGAUGUCACAUGACAGUGCGCCACCAAUCAGUGCGCUGUAUUGUCGGUAGCGGAUUCCACACCGAUGGCCGUGAGGGAAAGUUGCUGCAGGGGCCGUCCACCGGCGCGACGCCGCAUUGGAAGGAGCAGGUGCUUUUGAUAGAACUGCGGAAUUGCUAACCAGCAUGUCUACACAUGAGGUUCACUGUGACACCUCCAUAUCUCAGCUGCAGGAAGAAGAGGGUGGGAAAAACAACAAGUGUGGAGCUGAGGGAAUACAAAGAUGGAGACGAAGGCUAUGGAGUGGAAGUAGAGAUGAGGGAUGAUCCUUGAUUGUGCUUGUCUUAUGAGGGGCAUCCAUCAAGAUUGACACAGGGACAAAUAACAUUUGUGCAGCACAUGUGAGACUUAAAUUUAGCAUGACUUUUCCAGAAAUAGUUGAAUCUCAUAAAUAGAAUUGUAUUACACACGGGCAGUUGCAUAUUGCAAUUUAAUGCAGUUGAAUUGAAAUAUAAAUAAGAUUCAAUGGAGGGUUGAGUCCCCAUCUGCAGGGUUUCGCAGAAAUGAUGGUAGCAUGUUUGAAUUACCUCAAAAACGCACUUUCGGAGUAAAUAUUUGAGAAUGUAAUCAGGAAAGCAAUGGGCCUAAAAAUAUCUAUAUCUAUGUCAUCUCACAUAACAGUCUUGCCAAGCUUCAAGCUGUUAGAGGACUAUGGGUGGUCUAACAAUUAGCACAACAGAAUCUUUUAAUGAGAUAGAGGCUGUAGCUAGGUGUUGGAAAUAAUGGCGGUCUCCCAAAGGAUUAGAAUGACUCUUCCAUAGGUACAGUUCAAAAUGGGACCGUAUAUGAGCAAAUUGGAACAAAGUCAGUGGACUUCUGGUGGGUUUUAAAUUGCUGGUGGGUGGGGAGUGAGAUUAAAUACGUGAUUAAAAGGGGGAGACCCAGAAAGUGCAGAAUAAAAGCAAUUUGCGCAAGGAACAAAAAUGGGGGAAUCAGUGUUGGUUUAAAAGACAAGUGCAUGUCAAUGAGGAGGAAUUCCAAGGUAUUCCUUCACAGAUUGCUAGGAAGGGUUUGCAGCAGGCAAACCCAAUGAAUAAAUGAAGAGAUGAGCUCAGUGAACUGACUGCAUGUUCAGAUAUAGAACAGAACCAGUGUGCAAAAAAAUAUUUUCAGGAAAACCUAUUUGGAUAAAUUGCUUUUGAGAAACACCUACACUGCAGUAUCACUGAAAAGUAUCAUAAAGCCAAUUGUUAUCUUGUCACGCAACUGUGGGGGAGGUGGGUUACUGCCGCUUAGUCUCUUGCUGCUAUUCAUUUAAAAGAUAGCAUUCCUAGUACAGAACUGGAGUAAACUUGAUCCAACACAUCAGCCAUGGAAGCCAAAAUGUUCAAAACUUGGCAAGAUGCUCUUGACAAAGUGAUAACGCGCAACAACUAAUUCCCUCAAAGACA